rnacentral:rRNA from 1 species
UACAGAGGUGGCAAGCGUUGUUCGGAAUUACUGGGCGUAAAGGGCGCGUAGGCGGCCCGUCAAGUCCCGUGUGAAAGCCCCCGGCUCAACCGGGGAACGGCGCGGGAAACUAGCAGGCUUGAGUUCGGGAGAGGGAAGCGGAAUUCCGGGUGUAGCGGUGAAAUGCGCAGAUAUCAGGAGGAACACCGGUGGCGAAGGCGGGUCUCUGGGCAACAACUGACGCUGAGGAGCGAAAGCGUGGGGAGCGAACAGG